rnacentral:rRNA from 1 species
ACGAACGCUGGCGGCGUGCUUAACACAUGCAAGUCGAACGGAAAGGCCCCCUUGUGGGGUACUCGAGUGGCGAACGGGUGAGUAACACGUGAGUAACCUACCCUUGACUUUGGGAUAACUUCAGGAAACUGGGGCUAAUACCGGAUAGGAGCUCCUGCUGCAUGGUGGGGGUUGGAAAGUUUCGGCGGUUGGGGAUGGACUCGCGGCUUAUCAGCUUGUUGGUGGGGUAGUGGCUCACCAAGGCUUUGACGGGUAGCCGGCCUGAGAGGGUGACCGGCCACAUUGGGACUGAGAUACGGCCCAGACUCCUACGGGAGGCAGCAGUGGGGAAUAUUGCACAAUGGGCGGAAGCCUGAUGCAGCAACGCCGCGUGCGGGAUGACGGCCUUCGGGUUGUAAACCGCUUUCGCCUGUGGCGAAGCGUGAGUGACGGUAAUGGGUAAAGAAGCACCGGCUAACUACGUG